rnacentral:lncRNA from 1 species
UAAGCACAUUAGAGUUAGAAUCCCUCAAACAGAUUUUAGAUGAGAAAGUGGGGGCUUCUCGAUUUCUGAGUCUCCUCUUGAAUGUGCCGAAUGAUGGAGGACAGUAGUAGAGCCUUGAAUACGAAGGAAGCACUUUCAGGUUUGAGUUGAAUGCACUUCUUCCUUCUUUUUCUUGGAUUUACUCAACAGAAGUUCUUGGUGGUUGAAAUGUUUUAAUGCUUAGAUGGAAUAGCUCUCUUGUUGUCUACUACUAUUCACUCUGGCUAUUUAAGUGGUUUCAUUCGAAAACUAGCCGUUAGAGAGAGAUUUGGAGUCGUUCUGUCCCGUCU